UCCGUAGCUCAGCUGUAUAGAGCACUGGAUUUCGGCUCCAGCGGUCGCAGGUUAGAAUCCUGCCGGG
rnacentral:ncRNA from 14 species